rnacentral:rRNA from 1 species
GUGCCCCCCGCCGCGGUAAUACGGAGGGUGCAAGCGUUAUCCGGAUUUAUUGGGUUUAAAGGGUCCGUAGGCGGAUGCGUAAGACAGUGGUGAGAUCUCACAGCUCAACUGUGAAACUGCCAUUGAUACUGCGUGUCUAGAGUGAGGUUGAAGUAGCUGGAAUAAGUAGUGUAGCGGUGAAAUGCAUAGAUAUUACUUAGAACACCAAUUGCGAAGGCAGGUUACUAAGUCUCAACUGACGCUGAUGGACGAAAGCGUGGGGAGCGAGCAGGAUUAGAUACCCUGGUAGUCCACGCUGUAAACGAUGCUAACUCGUUUUUGGGGACUUAUCUUCAGAGACUAAGCGAAAGUGAUAAGUUAGCCACCUGGGGAGUACGAACGCAAGUUUGAAACUCAAAGGAAUUGACGGGGGCCCGCACAAGCGGUGGAUUAUGUGGUUUAAUUCGAUGAUACGCGAGGAAACCUUACCAAGGCUUAAAAUGGGGAUUGAUCGGUUUAGA